GACGAACGCUGGCGGCGUGCUUAACACAUGCGAGUCGAACGGAAAGGCCCUGCUUUUGUGGGGUGCUCGAGUGGCGAACGGGUGAGUAACACGUGAGUAACCUGCCCUUGACUUUGGGAUAACUUCAGGAAACUGGGGCUAAUACCGGAUAGGAGCUCCUGCUGCAUGGUGGGGGUUGGAAAGUUUCGGCGGUUGGGGAUGGACUCGCGGCUUAUCAGCUUGUUGGUGGGGUAGUGGCUUACCAAGGCUUUGACGGGUAGCAGGCCUGAGAGGGUGACCGGCCACAUUGGGACUGAGAUACGGCCCAGACGCCUACGGGAGGCAGCAGUGGGGAAUAUUGCACAAUGGGCGGAAGCCUGAUGCAGCAACGCCGCGUGCGGGAUGACGGCCUUCGGGUUGUAAACCGCUUUCGCCUGUGACGAAGCGUGAGUGACGGUAAUGAGUAAAGAAGCACCGGCUAACUACGUG
rnacentral:rRNA from 1 species